CCUGCCCGGUGCUCGAAGGUUAAUUGAUGGGGUUAGCAUUAGCGAAGCUCUUGAUCGAAGCCCGAGUAAACGGCGGCCGUAACUAUAACGGUCCUAAGGUAGCGAAAUUCCUUGUCGGUUAAAUACCGACCUGCAUGAAUGGCGUAACGAGAUGGGAGCUGUCUCAAAGAGGGAUCCAGUGAAAUUGUAGUGGAGGUGAAAAUUCCUCCUACCCGCGGCAAGACGGAGAGACCCCGUGGACCUUUACUACAGCUUGACACUGCUACUUGGAUAAGAAUGUGCAGGAUAGGUGGGAGGCUUUGAGUAUAUGACGCCAGUUGUAUAUGAGCCAUUGUUGAGAUACCACUCUUUCUUAUUUGGGUAGCUAACCAGCUUGAGUUAUCCUCAAGUGGGACAAUGUCUGGUGGGUAGUUUGACUGGGGCGG
rnacentral:rRNA from 1 species